CCAGCCUCUGUUCCAGGUCAGCCUCUCAAGGCUUCAGUUCUAUUAUGACUUCAAGGAAGUUAAAAGCUAGCAACAUAAAAGUGCAUCUGACUGUACUGUAUGUAGUUGUGCUACCUGUAACCUUGAGGGCACCUGCUCUCCCCCAGGAAAAUCACAGUCCAGAGUUUUGGUUAUCAGCUUUAAUUGCUCACUGUUGUAAUGAAAACCAGAUGAAACAAAAGGGCAAAUAAAAGGUGCAAAGCCUAAUGGAAUAAUGUUGGAAGGCUGUGGCAGAUGGAGGGACCCAAAUCAGAAAUCUGGGAACUCUGAUGCUGCUUCUUUUCUUGGGAGAUGGUGUGAAGGAGCAAUUUGAGAAAGCGUCAUGAAACAGGCCCAGAGAUGUGCAGAAGUUCUUGAAGCUGAGGAAACCUACUGCUUGCAAGAAAAAUCAAAUGGAAAACCCAUCCAGCCCAGCUUCCAUGGCAAGAGAAGCCCUUGGCUUACAGCUCAUGACAUCCAGAAGCGCUUGGUACUUGCAGGUGAUGGAUCUGGAAGGCACUGACUGGUGCCCAGGCCUCUGCAAGCAAUCCUUUCAAGGAAGCUCUUGUUAUUUUAUGUUCUUCAAGUGCUCCUUUGCUCUACCUUUUGUUUUCCCUCCACUCAUAUUAAGACAAAGAAAAAAGGGGAAUUACUGCUAAGCAGCAUAAUUAAAGUUUGAUUGUCUGUAAA